GUGCUCAUCAGUAGUCUCAAUCUGCUUUAUAAUGUCCUGCGUCUGUUGUAGCCAUGUCAAUAGCGGCUCUAGCAGCUAACUCUAUAACCAUACCCCUUAUCGCUUGUUAUUUCUAAGCGAGUCUCUGGCAUCAGCAUGUCAGACAUUGCAGCAUUCCAUCACUGGAUAAAGUUUACAGGUUAGAGUGGAGUACAAGUCUCUUAGCAUGAGUCAGUCAGUGUCCCCCUCCCAAAUAAGACAUUGAAUGAACACAAACCCCGAGAAUCACUAUAAGUCAUAGCUAGAAUCCAAUUUACACCAUUUAUAAACCCUUAAAAAAAAAAAACUUAUUCAAAGUUGACUCUACAUAGCAAGUGAUAGAGGCAGCAUUUUCCAUCAGGCGUCUUUAGUGGCAGACUAAAGGCAGAUAUCUGUGGCUCUCUGUCCCUCAGUCUCCCGGCCUGUUAGACUGGAGUAAAUAUAGCCUGUUUGGUUUGAGCCGGAGGAUAAACACAGAUGUUGAAUAGGCGCGCUCGCCACAGAGUGUUCAGACCAGGAGUUCCUUCCUCGGAGAGAGAGAGAGAGACUGACUAAGAGUUCUUUCCUCAAAGAGAGUCCCUUAGACCACGGCUUUGAGAGAUUUAUUACGCUAGAAACAUUUUAUUGUCCUUAGUUCGCUUCCUUAAGCUUGUAGUAAUCCAUACUGCCUGCACCAUAUGUGAGACGAACUGGGAAAACCCAUCGGUAGUCUUUAAAACAGCUGCUAGAAUUGUACGUGAAAGAAAACAUGAAUGUAUAUCUAAAAAAAAAUAACCUGGAAAUGUUUUCAUAUAGUCUACUUUCUAACCUUGCCUUGGCAUAAGGAGUUAGUUUAGAGCUAAAUGUGCUUUUCUUACGUUUAGAUCAAGAUUUUUUUGAAUACUGUAUCGAAUAGAGAUCGACUGAUGAAUCGGCACCGAUAAUCGGUUCGACAAGCGACGUGACUGAAUGUAUCAGUGGCUGUUUCAGUGAGAGAACAGUGGCGUGAGGAGAAGAGGACGAGGCUCGUAUUUAAACACAGCGAGUGAGUUUUCAUUUCCUAUUGUAGGCGGUUGUUUAAAUUCCGUUGAAGUAAUGUUAGUUUUCCAUCGUUUAUUCCAUACAGGAAUCUUUUUAAAUGCGAUUAUCUUUCAGAUUUUAAAAUGCUACUUUACUUAUUGUUGAGAUGUUGUUGUUGUCCCAUCUCUCAGUAGCAGCUAUUCAACGUUAGUCUGGUUAAAUUUUACACGCCGUAAUUGCACGUUAACCGGAGCCGUAUUCGCGUUGUCGCAUGCCCCCCUAUCUGACUUACGUACGGCAUGCUAGCACCGGUCGCCAACGAUCAUGUCGUGAUCAUCAGCUACUCGUCGAUGCCGCGUCACAGACACGUCGUGCACGUACCGAAGAAAGCCCUCGUUCCUGUAGGCUCCACAUGAAAGAAAGGGUU
ensembl:lncRNA